rnacentral:rRNA from 1 species
AACGAACGCUGGCGGCAGGCCUAACACAUGCAAGUCGAGCGGACCCUUCGGGGUUAGCGGCGGACGGGUGUGUAACGCGUGGGAACGUGCCCUUUGCUUCGGAAUAGCCCUGGGAAACUGGGAGUAAUACCGGAUACGCCCUUUUGGGGAAAGAUUUAUCGGCGAAGGAUCGGCCCGCGUUGGAUUAGGUAGUUGGUGGGGUAAUGGCCUACCAAGCCGACGAUCCAUAGCUGGUGUGAGAGGAUGAUCAGCCACACUGGGACUGAGACACGGCCCAGAGUGGCAGGGGGGGCGGCAGAUGUGAACAUCGGCCAAGGCGGCCCUCGCGAUGCGGGCGGCGCCGGGUGCGGAGUGACGGCAGUGUGGUGGAAAAGCCCUGUCACCUGGGAAGAGACGGACGGUACAAGGAGAAGCAGCCCCGGCCACCGCCGCGCCGGCAGCGGAGCUAAUAAUAGGACGCGCACACGUCUCACU